ACCAGACUCCUACGGGAGGCAGCAGUGGGGAAUAUUGCACAAUGGGGGAAACCCUGAUGCAGCGACGCCGCGUGAGCGAUGAAGUAUUUCGGUAUGUAAAGCUCUAUCAGCAGGGAAGAAAUUGGACGGUACCUGACUAAGAAGCCCUGGCUAACUACGUGCCAGCAGCCGCGGUAAUACGUAGGGGGCAAGCGUUAUCCGGAUUCACUGGGUGUAAAGGGAGCGUAGACGGCCAUGCAAGCCUGGAGUGAAAGCCCGGGGCCCAACCCCGGGACUGCUCUGGGAACUGUGCGGCUGGAGUGCGGGAGGGGCAGGCGGAAUUCCUAGUGUAGCGGUGAAAUGCGUAGAUAUCAGGAGGAACACCGGCGGCGAAGGCGGCCUGCUGGACCGCGACUGACGUUGAGGCUCGAAAGCGUGGGGAGCAAACAGGAUUAGAUACCCCAGUA
rnacentral:rRNA from 1 species